rnacentral:rRNA from 1 species
AACGCUGGCGGCAGGCCUAACACAUGCAAGUCGAGCGGGGGUAGCAAUACCCUAGCGGCGAACGGGUGAGGAAUGCUUGGGAAUCUGCCUCGUAGUGGGGGAUAACGUUCCGAAAGGAACGCUAAUACCGCAUACGUCCUACGGGAGAAAGGGGGGGAUCUUCGGACCUCUCGCUAUGAGAUGAGCCCAAGCGGGAUUAGCUAGUUGGUGAGGUAAUGGCUCACCAAGGCGACGAUCCCUAGCUGGUCUGAGAGGAUGAUCAGCCACACUGGAACUGAGACACGGUCCAGACUCCUACGGGAGGCAGCAGUGGGGAAUAUUGGACAAUGGGCGAAAGCCUGAUCCAGCCAUGCCGCGUGUGUGAAGAAGGCCUUCGGGUUGUAAAGCACUUUAAGCGAGGAGGAAGGUUCGUUACUUAAUACGUAACGGAAUUGACGUUACUCGCAGAAUAAGCACCGGCUAACUCUGUGCCAGCAGCCGCGGUAAUA